UUUUUUUUUUUUUUUUUUUUUUUUUUUUUUGAGACCAGAGUUUCACUCUUGCUGCUCAGGCUGGAGUGUAGUGGCGUGAUCUCAGCUGAUUGCAGCCUCCGCCUCCUGGGUCCAAGCAAUUCUCCUGCUUCAGCCUCCCGGGUAGCUAGGAUUAUAAGCAUACACCACCGCGCCCAGCUAAUUUUUUAUUUUUAGUAGAGACAGGGUUUCACCAUGGUGGCCAGGCUGGUCUUGAACUCCUGGCCUCAGGUGAUCCACCCGCCUUGGCCUCCCAAAGUGCUGGGAUUACAGGCGUGAGCCACUGCGCCUGGCCUCUCUUUACUUUUAAACUCAUUUCUAGUUUCCAAAUAGUCUCCCUAAGUCCUAUCUGCCUAAAUCUUCCUCUGCAAGUGUGAUCCCUCAGAGCUUGACUGCAGAGCAGUGCCUCUUAACCAUCCAACUAGAACAGCUCUGAGCAAAAACAUUUGUAGGCAUCAUUAAUCUUCCCUGCAGUGUGCACACAGAAAGUCAGAUUAACAAAAUUCUAUAGGAGACAAACUUACCUUCAAAAGACAAAAGAAAACCACUACAUUCUUGACCACCACAGGGUAUAAGCCCUUAAUUAUUAAGAGCUACUGCACUGAGGCAAUAACUCCUAAGAAAUCUUAACAUUUCGCCAGGCAAGGUGGCUCAUCCUGUAAUCCCAGCACUGGGAGAGAAUGGCACACGUAAUCCUAGCCUUUAGGAGGCCAAGGCGGGAGGAUUGCUUGAGCCCAGGAGUUUAAGACCAGCCUGGGCAACAGUGAGAUCCCAUCUUUACAAAAAAUUGAAAAAUCAUCCAGGCAUGGUGGCCUGUGCCUGUAAUCCCAGCUGCUUGGGAGGCUGAGGUGGGAGAAUCACUUGAGCCCAGGAGGCUGAGGCUGCAGUGAGCCAAGAUCGCACUACUGAACUCCAGCCUGGGUGACAGAGCAAGAGACUCUGUCUCAAAAAAAAAAAAAAAAAAGAAAUCUUACCGUCUUUAGUUCCUAUCACCAUUACUGCAGAUUUAGAAGCAAUCUACCUGAAUCAGAAAAUAGAGCUCAAAUAAGUUGUGUGGCUUGGUAUAAUCUGGGAAAAUCAGUUUCAAAAGUUACCUGCCCUUGGGAUAGAACUUUUUGUCAACACCAGUUUUCAAAAAGUACCCUAGUUAUGAGGCCGUUGCUGGGUAAACUUUAUCCCAUUCCAGCUUCAACCAGAGGAACCUGUACAUCCUAAAGUUUCACAUAAGAUUACACUUGAAGAAUAGGUUUCUCCAUUAAAAGACUUGAAAACUACUGGUCUUCAGGCUCCCUACCUGUUUAAUCUGUCAAGACAUUGCCAGCUUAAAUUUCGGACAGUUACAUAAGUGUCCCUGUUAACUUCAAAUGGCCCUGACAGGAAUGCUAAAACGUCAGACAUUCAAAUGGGCCAAGCUUUAUCAGGAUUAUAAAACUUUCAAAGCUCAAAAACAUGCCAUCUCUAUGGGAAACAGUAUCUUGGAUUUGAUGUUACAAAAGGAACAAGAAAAUGGUUUCUGAAUGGCAGCUUUCAGUUUACAAGUAGUGGCAAAGUAAAUGCUUGGAUGUUAUGAGGUAGUUGAUCUAAAUUGUGAGGCUUUCUUAAAGGCACUCCUUUGAUCUCAUGGAGUGAGAGACUAGAAAUCUAUUCAACGUAUUAAAACUCCUCUCCCAGCAAAAUAAAAUAAACAAAACAUCCUCCUCCUAA
rnacentral:lncRNA from 1 species